ensembl:lncRNA
CUCAGCCACCUCACAAACAACUUAUGGGGAGCAUGGAUUCCCCUACCAUCCCAGCAGGUAGCCACCAAGUCUUUGCCUGAACCACCCUAAGAGGAAUUCAGAACCUGGGGAGGCAGGCCUUGCCACUUUUGAACAGCUCUCUGAUGGUUAGAUACUGCUUUGCCCCCAAGGAUGGAAAAGUAAAGAAACGCUGCUGGGGGGCAGACUAAAGAGACAGGUCAGUCAAGUGUUAAAGGCCAAGCCACUUCUUCCUAUUUUUCUGUUCCCCUUUUGCCCAUUCUCUCCUUCAUGCCUUUUCCUCUGCGGGGUUCUUUAUCCCUCUUCCUCUCCCUCCUCCUAACUCCUCCGCGGCUCCCCAUUGCCCUCCUCCUCCUCACUCUCCCUCCCACACUUCCAGCAACGCCCGGCAAGGCGUAGAGAAGAAAUCCUCUCAUCUCCUGCCCCCUGAUCCAAGGAGAUCCUGAGUGGCCGCUGCUGGCAUCGGGGCCCCGCUCCUCUCUACCCAGGGCCCCGCCCCUCUCCGCCUAAGCCCCCGCCCCCCCUGCCCAGGGCCCCUCCUCUCCCCCCCGGGUCCCCGUCCCUCCCCUCGCUUCUCCUGCGCACCCAGCCUGAUCCGGCGCCCAGCUCUGGCUCGGGCUCGCCGCGCUGGCGUUGGCUCGGGCUGUAAUCCCGCUCCGCUCUCGGCCGCUGCACAGACAGAGCAAACGGCCCAAGGAGACUCGGCCGAGCCGGGAAACUUUUCCCGGAGCCCUAUCCGGCCCGGGGCCGCUCGGGGUCUGAGAUCCAGAAGCCUGAGAAGGGGCUGAAGUCUAGGGGGAGAAAUUGAUAUCUAGAGGAGAGAGAACUGUGAGAAUAUCUGCUUUAGAUUGCCUUUGGAAUCCUGGUAAGUCUCUUCAAGAGCCCUGCACCUUCAAACAUAUCUGUAAAUGGGAAGAAUAUUAAUAACUGGUCCAUCCACCUGUUGAAUGUCAUUUGAGAGUGGCAAUGAAAGCACUUUAAAGAGUACAAUGAUAUAGGAAGGGAGCAGCAGAAUGGUGGUAUCGUGUUGUUGUGUUGUUGAGAAGGGCUAUCUAUCCUUUCCCUUACAUCCUCUCCCACCUCCUACUUUACCUUCCCAGAUCCUUCUCCCACUCUGACCUUCUGUAGAAAUGGUUUUCCAUUCAAAUAAGUCAGGGAAGACAAUGGAAAGGAGGGAAAUUAUCAAGAAAAUGAUAGGUAUUUUAUCAUACUACUCUCAGAUUAUCAGUUAAUCAACAGGCAUUUAAAGGCUUGCUUCUAUAUCAGGCACUGUGCCCAGCUCUAAUAAUAUAAAGAAAGACAAAAGCAAACAAAAACAAAGUAGAUAAAAAGAAAACACCAGUGCCUUAUUUCAAGGAGAAUAUAUUCUAAUAAGAGAGACGAUUUUAAAUAACUAGGGAUAUACAAGAUAAAUACAGAGUAUAUGAAGAUAAUUGGAAAGGAGAAAACAUCAUCUGGGGAAGGAAGGAGCAAGGGGAAGAGCACAGUCCAGAAAAGGAUUCAUUAAGGUAAUGUUCGUGCUGAGGCUUAAAGAGAACUAAAGAAACUAAGGAAGAGAUAAGGGGGCAGAGCAUUCUAGAAAUGGAGAAUAGCCUCUACUUCCCCCUGCAUCUAGACUGCUGAUUUAUUAUCUAAGAAGAUCCUGCUCCAUAUUUUAUCCUACCAACACUCUGGGAAGUCAUAAAAAUGAAUUAAUAGUUCUUUUUGCUCUCCCCAGCUAAAGAACAAUCUCUUUGUUAUAUAUAGAAAUAUAUAUAUAUAUAUAUAUAUAUAUAUAUAUAUACACAUAUGUGUCUCUGUGUAUGUAUAGUAGUAGUUUUUAAAAAGUUUUUUAUCACACAUAUAUAUUUUCCUCUUGUCUUUCUCAGCUAAGUUUAUGCAGAGAAACAUAGAUCUGUAAAAUUAAUCACAUUUGUCUUUGAAAACUGGUUUUAAGGCAAAAAGAAAAUAAAAUAAACAAAUGUGUAAGAAACCUAUUUGAAGAGAUAAUCACACUUCCUGGAAAAAAAUGAAGCAGAGAGAAAAAUGACGUGAGUGAAUUAAAUCAUCUACCUUGAUAUUAGCACAUGGCUCAGUCACAGUACCUGCCCCUCCCCCUCUCUCUUUCUGUCUCUGUCUUUCACCCUCACUCUCUCUUUUGCUCUCUUUCCUCCCCUCUUUUUUCCUCUGUCUUUUCUCUACCCCCAUUUUCCUAACAUAAUACCAGUCUUCACUGUAUUGCCCACCAAUGUUCAUGGCUCCUCUGAUAUCCAAGCCAUAGCCAAUUUCAUUCUCAAUCUUCAGUGAAACUUGCCCGGGCCAUGUAUAUACACCAGUUUAUGGCUUCUGACUUUUCUUUUCUUUGAGAUAGGAGGAAUAACUUAUUAAUCAUAGUCUAGCCUUGUCAGUAUAGGUCAAGGCUAAUUUCCUAAGAAUCAAGAAGGGGAACAAAUCAAUAAGCAUUGGCCUAUAAAAUCCCUUGACAUUUCUCCCCAGAGUCAUAAAUUUUCAGCCUCUUGCAAAAUCAGCCAAAUUAUACUUGAGAUCUCUAAUUCUAUAUCAUGCCAUCAACAUACCUAUCACCACUUAAUAGAACAAGGAUGAUUAACCCAGCAUUUCAUAUAAUCAUCUCAGGAUCCCAUUCUCAACAAAUACAUAUCAUCUGUAUAGACAUAUCACAUAGACAUAUAGACAUAUGAAAAGACAUAUCGCAGUGACAGGCUGCUUCUGUGACUACAGAUCAAAUACAGGAAAUAUUGUAGGUACAUAUCAGAGUAGUAUCUGCAUAUCUGGAGAACACAAGAAAAUAUGGACAACAACCAAGGAAAGACACCACAUCAAUAGGACUAUAGAACAAUAAAAUGUCCAUAAUCAGAAAUAUACAAGCAAAAAAAUCUUAUUUAAUUACAUAGCUGAAAUUUAAUUGUAUCAAUGGCAGAACCACAGCAGCAAAUAAAAAAGAAACAAAAAAAUACUCAAAAUAAGUUCUAAUUGGCUUGUUCAUCAAUAAUAUGUAAGUAUAUGCAGGACACAUAUUAACAAGGAUAAAUAUUAUUGGUUACAUUGUAAUUACUUCUACAGUUUUCCCUGUAAUACCAUAAGUUAGUCUGGUCAGUGAUCACAUAGACCUAUCUUAACUGUGAUCUGCUGGCUAGCCUGUUCCUAUAGCUAAGUUGCUUGAGGACCCAAGCUUACCAUAGUCUUCAAAUCUGACUUUUUAAUGUGAACUUGAGGCAUAGGGAACAGGGAAGGGCCAGAACUGACAGUGUUACUAUGUUCUGUGGGGUAUGUCUGUAUCUGAGGAAUCUCAGUAGCUGAAAUUCUAGCCAAGAAAGUUAUUGCCUUUGGAUUCAAUCCUUCCUUCUAUCAGAAUUGGAUGCUCAUUUGAAAUAUCUGUUUCUAAGCUAUAGUUUAGUUCUGACAAUUUUCACACAAUUGGUUGGCAAUUUCUUUUAAUAAGUCUACUAAAUUAAGUGCUCAACAAUCUUUAUCUGCUCAUCAAGAAAUCCAACUAGGUUUCCUAUAAGCAGUAAAUUGUUGUCAUAAAUUGUCUUUACAGAGUCCUUGAUAGUCUGUGGGAUUAUUCUGUAAAUGGAAAAUUGUCCAGUCUUUCCAUGACUAUCCACUGAUUGGUUAACUUGGAAAGCCAAGACCUCUCAAUAAAACUCUCCUUAAACAUCUUGACAAUAAAUUCAGGCAUCAUAUCCAUGUUUAUUUCUAUCAGAACUCUUCUGGGUUAAAGUUAUAGUUUACUUAAGGGACCUUUUAAUUUUUUUGCAACAUCCUUAUAAUGUCUUUAUUUUUAUUCUUUGUUCAUUUCUAAAAUUAAGAGAUUCCACUUCCUUAUGAGGGCUCUAAGUUUAAAAAAGUCACUAAACUUUUCAAGCAACUUAUAUACCAAAUGAUCAAUAGAUUGAUGAGUAAUUGACAAAACCAAAUGCAGCAGUAUAUAAAUAUGAUAUAAUCAAACA